GGGGGUGACAGGUUUCGACUUCGUACGUUGCGCCAGGGGAAGCGAGCCGAGGAAGCCGACGCCCGCUCGUUAAAACGGCCGUCGGAAACCACAAGCGCCGACAAUAAGCGCGCUGACUACGCUCUCGCCGCCUGAGCGAGUAGCUAGUCUGUCGGUCUGGGAGCGCCUUCGUCCCAGCAGCCGGCAUCAGUGAGAAGGCUGGCAGACCAGACCCGGUCGCGGGGUCUGUGACGCGAGAUUAAUCAGCGACUGGGCCCGUCACAUCGACUCGCUCGCGUGAUCGAUGGGGCCGAGCAGAGACGUAGCGAGCUGCGCUCGGAGAAGCCCUGGUAAUGCGGCGGAGGACCCGGGUUCGAUUCCCGGCACCUCCACCC
rnacentral:tmRNA from 1 species